ensembl:lncRNA
GGGGGAAGGCGGUUCCUCUGCAGGCAAAGACCAGCGGCCGAGGACCAGCAGCAGGGCAGCCCUCGCCACCAUCUCCCUUCCUCUCACUCCAACCCCUUACUGCUUCUGGAAUGAAAGGGAAAGUUGGCUGCCAUGUCAUCAGGAUGUUCAAGCAGCUCUGUGGAAGGGUCUACAUGGUAAGGGACUGAAGCCUCCUGCCAACAGCCAUGUGAAUGAACCAUCUUGGAAGCCCAUCUUCCCUCCCCAGACAAGCCUUCAAGUGACCAUGGCCACUGCCAAGGUCUUAACCACGACCUUUUGAAAGACCCUGAGCCAGAACCACCUGACUGAGCUGCCUGAAUUCCUGACCCACAGGAGCUAUGAGAUAAUAAAUUUUUGUUGUUUUAAAU